rnacentral:pre_miRNA from 1 species
GAUCCUGAUGGGGAUCUUCUUCAGUGGUUUGUUUAUUUAACACAAUUUAGUUGACCACUGAAGAAGAUCCCCAUCAGGAU